GACGAACGCUGGCGGCGUGCCUAAUACAUGCAAGUCGAACGCUUCUUUCCUCCCGAGUGCUUGCACUCAAUUGGAAAGAGGAGUGGCGGACGGGUGAGUAACACGUGGGUAACCUACCCAUCAGAGGGGGAUAACACUUGGAAACAGGUGCUAAUACCGCAUAACAGUUUAUGCCGCAUGGCAUAAGAGUGAAAGGCGCUUUCGGGUGUCGCUGAUGGAUGGACCCGCGGUGCAUUAGCUAGUUGGUGAGGUAACGGCUCACCAAGGCCACGAUGCAUAGCCGACCUGGGGGGGGGAUCGGCCACACGGGGACUGAGACACGGCCCAGACUCCUACGGGGGGCAGCAGUAGGAAAUCUUCGGCAAUGGACGAAAGUCUGACCGAGCAACGCCGCGUGAGUGAAGAAGGUUUUCGGAUCGUAAAACUCUGUUGUUAGAGAAGAACAAGGACGUUAGUAACUGAACGUCCCCUGACGGUAUCUAACCAGAAAGCCACGGCUAACUACGU
rnacentral:rRNA from 1 species